AGUGAACGCUGGCGGUAGGCCUAACACAUGCAAGUCGAACGGCAGCACAGUAAGAGCUUGCUCUUACGGGUGGCGAGUGGCGGACGGGUGAGGAAUACAUCGGAAUCUACUUUUUCGUGGGGGAUAACGUAGGGAAACUUACGCUAAUACCGCAUACGACCUACGGGUGAAAGCAGGGGAUCUUCGGACCUUGCGCGAUUGAAUGAGCCGAUGUCGGAUUAGCUAGUUGGCGGGGUAAAGGCCCACCAAGGCGACGAUCCGUAGCUGGUCUGAGAGGAUGAUCAGCCACACUGGAACUGAGACACGGUCCAGACUCCUACGGGAGGCAGCAGCGGGGAAUAUUGGACAAUGGGCGCAAGCCUGAUCCAGCCAUACCGUGUGGGUGAAGAAGGCCUUCGGGUUGUAAAGCCCUUUUGUUGGGAAAGAAAAGCAGCAGGUUAAUACCCCGCUGUUCUGACGGUACCCAAAGAAUAAGCACCGGCUAACUUCGUG
rnacentral:rRNA from 1 species